UUACUCUGUAUUUGCAAGGGUGCGAUUUGUGCAUAUACUGUAGAUUGGAACAGGAGCGAUGGGUUGCCAUAUGAUGUCUAUUAUGUGGGAUACUGGACCACCGAGUCCCUGCUACCCUGGACGGAUCGACUUCUAAUGCUUUUGUGUGUCACUGAACAAUGCAUUUGAGUGAUCAGAUUUCUUCCUUUCUAUCUGUUAGAAAGAGAAAUAGAUCCAGUUUUCAGCAUGGAGGUGGUGUCAUGUGACAAUACUCAGUCCUUUCUCUUUCAAUGACGCACAUAAAUCCUAAACUAGCUUUAUCAACCAUUUUUUUGCACAUGCAAAAGCCACUGUGGCUGCCAAGACUUUUAUUUUCUGCUGUGUGCAAUGACAUCCCCUUGUUGUCUUGGUUACCUCCCCGAUUAGUUGCUCUCUUUCUCCUGGAAGAAGACAUUGAAAUUCACCAGAAGUCAUUCUAUAGCUUACAUAGUUCUUGUCGAUCAAAAUACCUACCCACAUAUUUUCUAUAUUUUCGCCUAAAAAGAAUCCCCCACUUUCAAAAUGUGUUUGAUAAUCUUAGCCAGCUUUGUGUAUUUCUUUAUGUCCUACCUAUCAUAGAUAGUGCAAUGUGGCCAUUUCACUUAAGCGUGAAUCUGUGUGAACGCACGUCUGUAUGCAUGUGCAAUAUUUCUGUAUCUUUGCGUGUCCGUGUGCAUGUUUACAAGUUCUAGUACAGAAUGCACCAGACCCCGGACAAAAUAUUCAGAAAUAAUUAUUUGGCAUUUUGCCCUCACUACUAAUCAAACUAUAGUAAUAACCUAAAUCUAAACAUCUGGAGGAUACUUGUGAAUAAUCACAAGAAUGCUGCCAAAAGACUGACUUGUGUCUGAUUCCUAAACAAAAGUCAGCAUAUGCUAAUAAUAACGCCAACACAUUUUUACAGAGGUCUGGAUUAUACUAACAUUAUCUCCCUAACAAGACUAAUUUCUGCUAACAGUGUGAUGACUACUAACCUCUCCGCUCAGUGCUAUUGGCUGGCCUCACACUCAGUGACUAACCCUCUGCUUUGUGGCCGCAAACACACACAAACCCUCUCCUCUCUCUUGAUCCUGCAACCCCUCUUCUACAAAAACUAUUCCGGCUGAUCGUGACAGAAGGACAUCAAAUAUAAACAUGAGCUGAGUGCAUCAAGAAGGGUUUCAAGAUUUGGGGAGGAAAUGGCAUGAGCCAGAAGCAGGAAAGUGGCUUAUCAAACCUGGCUUGACCACAAAGUCCACCAAAAUUUUGUGAUGGAUUGUGUCACACUCGAGGCCGAAGUCAGAGAAUCACAAGUGUGUGUGACUUUGUGUGCACGGUGUGGUCAAGCUUUGCAGGUGAGUGCCUUAAUUGUUGUCACCAAGGGCAACGUUACUAACUCCCUCUGAUACUAACAAUGGCACCGUUGCCAAGUACUAACAUCUCUGCUCUGCAUAUCUUUUUAUUCUUCUCACAUUUUCCAAAAGAAAAUAUCUCUCUGUCCUUGUUGAUUAACAGACUAAAGCAUGGCCUGUGUUAACAAGAAUUAUGUUUGAAAUCUUAAUGACAACUCAUCAUUUGUGUAUGGAACACAACAGUUUUCCACAAGCUACUAACAUUCUUGGAAAUAUGACAAAUACUAACCAGAAAGCUUUAAAUAACUAACAAACUAACAUACUAAUUAACUAACAAAGACAAUGACUAACCUAUGAGCUUGAUAACUGAAUCGCUCAUCAUGCGGCCAUGUAAUAGAAAUUGCGUCACAUACUGAGCGUGCUAACAAGGUUGAACGUAACCUACUUAAGUCGGAUGCGAGCGCAGAUGAGUGAGUGGGUGGCCACAUAUGGAGGAUACUUAGUCUGUCUCCCUGAUUUUCCAUCCUAAGGAAUAUUUUUAGUGCAGUAAUUAAGAGCGAGAAUAUGAUGCAAAAUGUUGUCACGACUAUCUCUUAUGACAAUGGCUCAUUUAUUUUGGCUGAGAAUCAAAGCGGUUGGCUCUGUUCUGUACCUUAAAUGCCAUCCAAUCAUCAUUCUUCAACAACUCUUACAGAAAAAUAUAAAAAUCAUGUUCUCAUCGCAUGAUGUCUUAGUGAAUGUAGUUAGAGAUUCCAAGCAUAGUUCUACUGUCCCUGUACAUGAUGCUACAAAUUACAGUAUGCGUUAAACAAACAUUUGAAGGUGACCACUGUAAACCCUCUAAAAAUAUUUAUAGGUGCACAAUGACAUCACCAAGCAAUCAUGUGGUCUGACAUGAUGUAAAUUAUGCUAAUACACCUUUGGACUCAGAUUAGUUGCAUUACGUAAUAAACAGAUUUACUGUUUGUGGCAUUGUGUUAUAUGGCUUGUGAAAAGCUCACACUUCAAGUUAUGAUGUACUCAGAGACAAAAGAACCACCAUUUGUGAAACCAUACACAAAAAAGCAUACAUUACAUAGGCACUCAGUGUAGUGUACAAUGCAGAGCUCCACCAAGGUCUGGAAAAGGGCAUCCAUUUAGUCAAUCAUUUUUCAUGUACUGCUUGUGAAGGCCCACCUGUGUCCAUUUAGUACAUUGUUUUUCUCUAGUUUUAUUUAU